GGAGGGGUGGCAGAGCGGUUCAAUGCACCGGUCUUGAAAACCGGCGUCCGCAAGGACACGUGGGUUCGAAUCCCACCCCCUCCG
rnacentral:tRNA from 2 species